GACGAACGCUGGCGGCGUGCCUAAUACAUGCAAGUAGAACGCACAGUUUAUACCGUAGCUUGCUACACCAUAGACUGUGAGUUGCGAACGGGUGAGUAACGCGUAGGUAACCUGCCUGGUAGCGGGGGAUAACUAUUGGAAACGAUAGCUAAUACCGCAUAAUAUUGAUUAUUGCAUGAUAAUUAAUUGAAAGGUGCAAUUGCACCACUACCAGAUGGACCUGCGUUGUAUUAGCUAGUAGGGGAGGUAACGGCUCACCUAGGCGACGAUACAUAGCCGACCUGAGAGGGUGAUCGGCCCCACUGGGACUGGGACACGGCCCAGACUCCUACGGGAGGCAGCAGUAGGGAAUCUUCGGCAAUGGACGGAAGUCUGACCGAGCAACGCCGCGUGAGUGAAGAAGGUUUUCGGAUCGUAAAGCUCUGUUGUAAGAGAAGAACGGGUGUGAGAGUGGAAAGUUCACACUGUGACGGUAUCUUACCAGAAAGGGACGGCUAACUACGUG
rnacentral:rRNA from 1 species